CUCUGUGGGCACAGAUGCUGCACAUUGACCAAACCCCUGGCCCUCCCUCCAAGCCCUCAGGUCCAGGUACUUCCACUGUUCCUGUCUUCAGACAUGGCAGCCACCAGGAACAGCCUCAGAAAGUUUCCCAAGGAGAGAGUCUCAGCUCAGAAAAAUGUUAAUGCCUUCCAUGUGCUCAGCACUUCCCAGCCUGACGGGAACAUCCAUAUACGUUUUUUUCUGGGGUCUUCUAACCCACCUGAGAUCCAGGCUGGACCAUGACAUCAUAUGGUGGAGGCUGUUUUUCUGAAAGGGAAAAAAAAAAAAAAAAACCAGACCAGAUUUAUAAGAAGGACAUUCAGACAGCAUGACUGAAGAGGACCAUGGCCAAGUGACCAUAGCCCACGCCCAGCAGUGCUGAGAACACUGCUGGUCCCUCGGCACCUGGGGCUGACUCAUGGUUGCUCUCAGGACCCACUGCCAGACGCCAGGGUUGCUUUCACUCUUCCUCCGUUCCUCAGGACUGUCCUAUGAAACCAUCCGCAGGAACGCUUCUACCCGCUCCCAGCACCCCAAGAGUUUAGAUGUUAAGUAACAUGAAGAUGCCCUGAUGAUGCCCACCAGUAUCCUUGGUACUUCAUACAGAUUGUUUCAUUUAAAACUCAUGACUUAGGGCACCUGGUGGCUCAGUUGGUUAAGUGUUCGAUUCUAUCUCAGCUCAGGUCUUGAUCUCAGGGUUAUGAGUUCAAGCCUCAAGUUGGGCUCCAUGCUGGGUGUGAAGCCUAAGGAUAGAUAGAUAGAUAGAUAGAUAGAUAGAUAGAUAGAUAGAUAGAUAGAGUAAAAUUCAUAACUCUAUUAAAUCAGGUACCAUAGCAAUCCACUUUCCAGAUGAGGAAACUGAAAAGUUAAGUAAUUUAUCCAAGCUCAUGCAACUAAUAUUGGCAGAUAUCCAGGUCUUCUUAAUGCUGAAGCCAGAGUACUUAACCUCUGCUCCACAAUACCUGAUAGAACUCAUUAGCCAGCCUGCUAGAAAGAACCAAAUAGAAAGAGAUGCAAAAGACAUGCCGGAAGGGUAACCAGACAGGAUUCCUCAUGCCACAGAGGACUUUCCUCCCUCUGUAUGAUCCCUCUCCUGACAAUGCUUGUUUCACUUACAGACAGCAUCUUUUCACAUCCUUUCCCCCAACACCUUAAUGCAUUAGAUGGACAAUGAAAAAAACUCAUGAUAUUAUGAAAUACAACAUUUUUGGGGCACCUGGGUGGCUCAGUUGGUUGAGCAACUGGCUCUUGCUAUUGGCCCAGGUCACGAUCUCGUGGUUCAUGAGUUUGAGCCUCACAUCAGGCUCUGUGCUGACAGCUGCUCUCACUGCCUUCCCCUGCUCACAUUCUCUCCCUCUCUCAAAAA